CAGCGCCAGAAAGUUUGAGAGUAUGUUGUCCCUCGUAAUGUGUUUUGAAGGUUCAAGUAGGCAUUUUGUGGAAUACGAGUCUUCUUUUUAAGCUAAAUAUCAGGAUAUCGGGACAUCUGGAUUGCAGUCUUGAAGACCACCUGCACAUGAUGAUCCUGGCAGUGGCACUGUGGAAUGCCUACUACCUGAUGUCAAAGUAUUGGAAGACCCUAAUGAUGAUGGUAGUGAUGAAGAAGCACAUUCUAGGAAGUGCAGAGAGUCAGUCUGACACUGACUUUGUGGCUCCCACAUACUCUGCCCAUACUUUGGACGCAGGUAUUUCUUUGCCCUGAAUAACGAGGACAUCUAACAUGAAAUUCACUGCUCCAGAGAGAUAAUCUUAACUACAAUACCUGCUGUUGCAACAAUGAAAAUGUUGGAUUAAAGAAACAGACAAAAAUCAGCUGGUUCUAAGUACUUUUCUAUAUAUACUUAUACCCAAGGAGCAUGAGCAAACCUAUGAUACAGUCAGAAUGACUAGAAGAAAGAACAUCUGGGAUUAUUGUCGUAGCUUGUGCAAAACUCUCCAACUAAAAAAAAUGCAAAGUCUUUUUAGGUAAUAUCAAAGAAUGCAGGACUGCUAAAAUAUUACAAAUUAUUUAAAAAAAUAAGCAAUAACCUAACUAUGUGCAUUGCUUCAACAAAAUUCAAUAGAAAGAUAGGCCAAGCAAUUGGACAUAUAGCAACUAAUGGGGGUGAGGGUGGAUAAAUAAAAUAAUGCGAAGGCUAAAACUAUAUGGUACAAAGUAACAGAGUAUAAGUAAUAGCAAUGAUAAAAUAGAAAAACAAUAAAAGGCAGGCAAAAGAAUGGUAAAGCAUAAAUGAAUGAAAACUAAGUAAAGACGAAAUCAUGAGGAAAUGACACCCAGAAACAAAACGAGGGAGUCAGAAACAAGUUUAUGAAAUAGAUAUAUAGAAUACAACCUAGUACAUAAAUCAGACAGAGGUACAUUCAUUCAUUAAGUCUUAGUUUGCCCACAUAAUCUAGGUCAGGGUUGUUGGGAACUUGUGUCUCAGCUCCCACUUGGUGCAUGAUAGAAGAACAAUACUAAUCCUAAAUGGGUUUGGGGGGGUUAACCGCCUGCUGGACACAUAUGCUUUCAUACAAUACACAAACAGAUGGACAGAAAGACACAAUUAAACACAGAGGAAAACAUGCAUUGUCUACCUAAAAUGCUCCCCAGCCAAGAACCUCACUGAAGAUCUUAAUCUUGUGGGUUAGCAAUACUGUUAUACGACUGUGACACCUAGGAGAAGGUACACAUACUGAAAGCCUGAUGCACCAAAUCCAGCACUGGUUUAAAAACGAGCUGUGUGAAGAUGCUGAUUUAUACCUAAUGAGGAAGAAAUGGAAAGCAUUUAUGCAAUAUUUAUGUAAUUGUUUGAUGAAACUGUCAAAGUCUGUAAUAAUUUGUUGUGCCGAAUAUCUUUCUCUUAUGGCUGCCUGUAAAAGAAAUAAAAAAUAAUAAUUUGAUAUUGUACUGUCCACACAGAAAAUUAAUAUAGUUCCUAUGAGAUGUUGGCAGUUACUUUAAUCAAAUUAACUGAAGAUUUUCUAGAAUUAAUGCUUCCUGUUAAAAAACAAAAUACAUUAAUUAUGAACUCAAGAGCAGCAAGUACAACCAUAUAAAAAAAUCUUUGACAUUGAAUGCUGGAUAAGUUGAAAGUGAGUACUUGCAUAAGUUGGUAACUUGUCUGAUAUUAAAAGAAGUAUAUUAACGUCUUACAAAUUACUGUGGCAGAAUAAGUUGGACCUCUAAGGCUACUAUCUCAUUUUAUCAUUAUUAACCAUAGACUUGUGCUGUUCCGGGAUAAGCAGUAGAGGCUGGAGAGAGAGAGAAGCAUACCUCUCAAGUGUACCUCAUUACAAGGAAUGUUUCUCAUUUUGAGUCUUAACAAGUCCAUGUUCCACAUUGUUAAAUUGAAAGACUCUGUCACACAUUCAUUUGUAAGGCUUUUUUUAGUUAAUAUCUGGGGUUACUGAGCUUACUAAUUGAAGUUGUUACUAAGUGUUUAGCAGGUGUUUCACUUUUUAUCCAUUCGUUCCACAUUUUGGGAGAUGGAGGUUUGACACAGUGAAGUAAGGUGGAAGGAGACAUAGGGAGAGAGGGGGAGAGAGCUAGAGAGCCAUUCUGAAGCAGAACAAGUACCUCCAAACCCUUGACGUUCAUGCAAGAAGGCUUGAAUGAAGUAGAAAAGGACCUGAUAAGGCAGACAUGAAGAACCUUCAGAAAGUACGAAAACAGGAAUAAAUACUGUAGCAGAAAAAAAAAAAAACAUAUCAUAGCCAUUUACAAACCUUUACCCAAAAGCCACUAAAAUUUAAUUUCAUUUAAUAACUUAAUGUUGUCUCCUUAGGUGGUAGUAACAUUUAUUUAUUUUUUCCUGGCAACAUCUCUUUAGUUCCACUUUGCAUCUGCUCUUUAAAAAAAUGUCUUUUCUCAGUCCUACUACU